rnacentral:rRNA from 1 species
AGAGUUUGAUCAUGGCUCAGGAUGAACGCUAGCGGCAGGCUUAAUACAUGCAAGUCGAGGGGCAGCACAGGUAGCAAUACUGGGUGGCGACCGGCAAACGGGUGCGGAACACGUACGCAACCUUCCUUUAAGCGGGGAAUAGCCCAGGGAAACUUGGAUUAAUACCCCAUAAGACAGUGGUGUGGCAUCACACAGCUGUUAAAGCUCCGGCACUUAAAGAUGGGCGUGCGACUGAUUAGGUAGUUGGCGGGGUAACGGCCCACCAAGCCAACGAUCAGUAACUGGUGUGAGAGCACGACCAGUCACACGGGCACUGAGACACGGGCCCGACUCCUACGGGAGGCAGCAGUAAGGAAUAUUGGUCAAUGGACGCAAGUCUGAACCAGCCAUGCCGCGUGGAGGAUGAAGGCCCUCUGGGUUGUAAACUUCUUUUAUUGGGGAAGAAACCCAUCUUUUCUAAGGUGGUUGACGGUACCCGAUGAAUAAGCACCGGCUAACUCCGUGCCAGCAGCCGCGGUAAUACGGAGGGUGCAAGCGUUAUCCGGAUUCACUGGGUUUAAAGGGUGCGUAGGUGGGCAGGUAAGUCAGUGGUGAAAUCUCUGGGCUUAACCCAGAAACUGCCGUUGAUACUAUCUGUCUUGAAUGUAGUGGAGGUGAGCGGAAUAUGUCAUGUAGCGGUGAAAUGCUUAGAUAUGACAUAGAACAUCUAUUGCGAAGGCAGCUCGCUACACUAUAAUUGACACUGAGGCACGAAAGCGUGGGGAUCAAACAGGAUUAGAUACCCCAGUAGUCC